AGCGAACGCUGGCGGCAGGCUUAACACAUGCAAGUCGAGCGGGCGUAGCAAUACGUCAGCGGCAGACGGGUGAGUAACGCGUGGGAACAUACCUUUUGGUUCGGAACAACACAGGGAAACUUGUGCUAAUACCGGAUAAGCCCUUACGGGGAAAGAUUUAUCGCCGAAAGAUUGGCCCGCGUCUGAUUAGCUAGUUGGUGAGGUAAUGGCUCACCAAGGCGACGAUCAGUAGCUGGUCUGAGAGGAUGAUCAGCCACAUUGGGACUGAGACACGGCCCAAACUCCUACGGGAGGCAGCAGUGGGGAAUAUUGGACAAUGGGCGCAAGCCUGAUCCAGCCAUGCCGCGUGAGUGAUGAAGGCCUAGGGUUAGUAAAGCUCUUUUGUGCGGGAAGAUAAUGACGGUACCGCAAGAAUAACGCCCCGGCUAAC
rnacentral:rRNA from 1 species